UGGGGAAUAUUGGACAAUGGGCGCAAGCCUGAUCCAGCCAUGCCGCGUGAGUGAUGAAGGCCCUAGGGUUGUAAAGCUCUUUCACCGGUGAAGAUAAUGACGGUAACCGGAGAAGAAGCCCCGGCUAACUUCGUGCCAGCAGCCGCGGUAAUACGAAGGGGGCUAGCGUUGUUCGGAUUUACUGGGCGUAAAGCGCACGUAGGCGGACUUUUAAGUCAGGGGUGAAAUCCCGGGGCUCAACCCCGGAACUGCCUUUGAUACUGGAAGUCUUGAGUAUGGUAGAGGUGAGUGGAAUUCCGAGUGUAGAGGUGAAAUUCGUAGCUAUUCGGAGGAACACCAGUGGCGAAGGCGGCUCACUGGACCAUUACUGACGCUGAGGUGCGAAAGCGUGGGGAGCAAACAGG
rnacentral:rRNA from 1 species